rnacentral:rRNA from 1 species
GGAGGAAAGUAGGGGAUCGCAAGACCUCGCGCUAUUGGAGCGGCCGAUGUCCGAUUAGCUAGUUGGCGGGGUAACGGCCCACCAAGGCGACGAUCGGUAGCUGGUCUGAGAGGAUGAUCAGCCACACUGGAACUGAGACACGGUCCAGACUCCUACGGGAGGCAGCAGUGGGGAAUUUUGGACAAUGGGGGCAACCCUGAUCCAGCCAUGCCGCGUGAGUGAAGAAGGCCUUCGGGUUGUAAAGCUCUUUCGGCGGGGACGAAACGGUUCGUGUCAACACCACGGACUAAUGACGGUACUCGCAGAAGAAGCACCGGCUAACUACGUGCCAGCAGCCGCGGUAAUACGUAGGGUGCAGGCGUUAAUCGGAAUUACUGGGCGUAAAGCGUGCGCAGGCGGCUCCUUAAGUCAGAUGUGAAAGCCCCGGGCUUAACCUGGGAACUGCGUUUGAAACUACAAAGCUAG